AUUGAACGCUGGCGGAAUGCUUUACACAUGCAAGUCGAACGGCAGCACGGACUUCGGCCUGGUGACGAGUGGCGAACGGGUGAGUAAUGUAGUGGAACGUGCUUAGCCGUCGGGGAGAACGUAGUGAAAAUUACGCAAAUAUCGCAUUCGAUCUUUGGAUGAAAACGGGGGAGCGCAAGACCUCGCGCGAUUGGAGCGGCCGAUAUCAGAUUAGGUAGUUGGUGGGGUAAAGGCCCACCAAGCCAACGACCUGUAGCGGGUCUGAGAGGACGACCAGGCACACUGGAACUGAGACACGGUCCAGACUCCUACGGGAGGCAGCAGUGGGGAAUUUUGGACAAUGGGCGAAAGCCUGAUCCGGCCAUUCCGCGUGCAGGAUGAAGGCACUCGGUUUGUAAACUGCUUUUGUACAGAACGAAAAGGUUUCUACUAAUUCUAGGAGCUCAUGACGGUACUGUAAGAAUAAGCACCGGCUAACUACGUGCCAGCCGCCGCGGUAA
rnacentral:rRNA from 1 species